rnacentral:rRNA from 1 species
AGUGAACGCUGGCGGUAGGCCUAACACAUGCAAGUCGAACGGCAGCGCAGUAAGAGCUUGCUCUUACGGGUGGCGAGUGGCGGACGGGUGAGGAAUACAUCGGAAUCUACUUUUUCGUGGGGGAUAACGUAGGGAAACUUACGCUAAUACCGCAUACGACCUACGGGUGAAAGCAGGGGAUCUUCGGACCUUGCGCGAUUGAAUGAGCCGAUGUCGGAUUAGCUAGUUGGCGGGGUAAAGGCCCACCAAGGCGACGAUCCGUAGCUGGUCUGAGAGGAUGAUCAGCACACUUGGAACUGAGCACAGGCCCGGCCUCCUAGGGGAGGAAGAAGUGGGGAAUAUUGACAAAGGGGCGCAAGCCUGAUCCAGCCAUCCGGGGUGGUUGAAGAAGGCUUUCGGUUUGUAAAGCCUUUUUGUUGGGAAAGAAAACAAGAAGGUUAAUACCCGGUUGUCUGGCCGGAACCAAAAGAAUAAGAACGGGCUACUUCGUU